CAGGUGGUGCAUGGUUGUCGUCAGCUCGUGUCGUGAGAUGUUGGUUAAGUCCGCAACGAGCGCAACCCUUAUUGCUAGUUACCAUCAUUAAUUGGGGACUCUAGCGAGACUGCCAGUGAUAAACUGGAGGAAGUGGGGAUGACGUCAAAUCAUCAUGCCCCUUAUGACCUGGGCUACAAACGUGAUACAAUGGCUGAAACAAAGGGCAGCGAAGCAGUGAUGUGAAGCGAAACCCAAAAAAGCAGUCUCAGUUCGGAUUGAAGUCUGCAACUCGACUUCAUGAAGUCGGAAUCGCUAGUAAUCGCGAAUCAGAACGUCGCGGUGAAUACGUUCUCGGGGUUU
rnacentral:rRNA from 1 species